rnacentral:rRNA from 1 species
GAUGAACGCUGGCGGCGUGCCUAAUACAUGCAAGUCGAGCGAACAGACGAGGAGCUUGCUCCUCUGACGUUAGCGGCGGACGGGUGAGUAACACGUGGAUAACCUACCUAUAAGACUGGGAUAACUUCGGGAAACCGGAGCUAAUACCGGAUAAUAUAUUGAACCGCUUGGUUCAAUAGUGAAAGACGGUUUUGCUGUCACUUAUAGAUGGAUCCGCGCCGCAUUAGCUAGUUGGUAAGGUAACGGCUUACCAAGGCAACGAUGCGUAGCCGACCUGAGAGGGUGAUCGGCCACACUGGAACUGAGACACGGUCCAGACGCCUACGGGAGGCAGCAGUAGGGAAUCUUCCGCAAUGGGCGAAAGCCUGACGGAGCAACGCCGCGUGAGUGAUGAAGGUCUUCGGAUCGUAAAACUCUGUUAUUAGGGAAGAACAAAUGUGUAAGUAACUAUGCACGUCUUGACGGUACCUAAUCAGAAAGCCACGGCUAACUACGUG